rnacentral:lncRNA from 10 species
AACUCUACAAAAAUUAGUCAGGCAUGGUGGUGCACACCUGUAGUCCCAGCUACUCAGGAGGGUCACCUGAGCCUGGGAGGUUGAGGAACAAACACACGGAGUUUCAGAGGCUGGAUUUCUAGAAGUUGGCAUCUCAUAGGAAACCUUGUUUUUCUAUGCCAAUUUUAAACUGUGAGGAAGACUGACAGGACUUCUCAGAUAUGAGACCUAUUUAUUUAUUUAUUUUUGAGACGGAAUUUUGCUCUUGUCCCCCAGACUGGAGUGCAACGGCGCGAUCUUGACUCGCUGCAACCUCUGCCUCCUGGGUUCAUGUGAUUCUCGUGAUUCUCCUGCCUCAGCCUCCCAAGUAGCUGGGAUUACAGGCAGGUGCCACCAUGCC